rnacentral:rRNA from 1 species
CUUCCAUCUGGAAGAAUCUGGAGACAGGUGCUGCAUGGCUGUCGUCAGCUCGUGUCGUGAGAUGUUGGGUUAAGUCCCGCAACGAGCGCAACCCUUGCCUUUAGUUGCCAGCAGUUCGGCUGGGCACUCUAAAGGGACUGCCGGUGUUAAACCGGAGGAAGGUGGGGAUGACGUCAAGUCCUCAUGGCCUUUAUGACCAGGGCUACACACGUACUACAAUGGCCGAUACAAAGGGCAGCGACACUGCGAGGUGAAGCCAAUCCCGUAAAAUCGGUCUCAGUCCGGAUUGGAGUCUGCAACUCGACUCCAUGAAGUUGGAAUCGCUAGUAAUCGUGGAUCAGCAUGCCACGGUGAAUACGUUCCCGGGCCUU